AAGGAGCACAUAGCCGGUUGCGAGCGAAUGUCUCGCACGGUUGCUCAUGGGUGGAACGUUGACUAUUCGGCACACUGGGUGAUGGUUCGUGAGUACUGCUUCGGCGUGGAAAGCGUUCUUGAGUCUGGUGUGUCGGGCACGUUGUUGGGUCCUGAGGGAAUGGCCGUCAUGGUCUGAACCUCGAGGAUGCCGGUCCCACGGACAGUGCUCGUUUUCGGGUGGUGUAGGUGGGUGUCUGGUCGUUGUUUGAGAACUGCACAGUGGACGCGAGCAUCUGU
rnacentral:misc_RNA from 1 species